rnacentral:rRNA from 1 species
AUACGGAGGAUCCGAGCGUUAUCCGGAUUUAUUGGGUUUAAAGGGAGCGUAGGCGGACGCUUAAGUCAGUUGUGAAAGUUUGCGGCUCAACCGUAAAAUUGCAGUUGAUACUGGGUGUCUUGAGUACAGUAGAGGCAGGCGGGACUCGUGGGGUAGCGGUGGAAUGCUUAGAUAUCACGAAGAACUCCGAUUGCGAAGGCAGCUUGCUGGACUGUAACUGACGCUGAUGCUCGAAAGUGUGGGUAUCAAACAGGAUUAGAUACCCUGGUAGUCCACACAGUAAACGAUGAAUACUCGCUGUUUGCGAUAUACAGUAAGCGGCCAAGCGAAAGCGUUAAGUAUUCCACCUGGGGAGUACGCCGGCAACGGUGAAACUCAAAGGAAUUGACGGGG